rnacentral:rRNA from 1 species
GUCCUAGCCCUAAACGGUGCGCAUUUGCUGUAGGAGGAAUCGACCCCUUCUGUGGCGAAGCUAACGCGAUAAAUGCGCCGCCUGGGGAGUACGGUCGCAAGAUUAAAACUCAAAGAAAUUGACGGGGGCCUGCACAAGCGGUGGAGUAUGUGGCUUAAUUCGAUGCAACGCGAAGAACCUUACCUGGCCUUGACAUGCAAGUGGUAGAACCAUGAAAGUGGGACGACCCCGCAAGGGGAGCUUGCACAGGUGCUGCAUGGCUGUCGU